rnacentral:misc_RNA from 1 species
GAUGAAGAACGCAGCGAAAUGCGAUAAGUAGUGUGAAUUGCAGAAUUCAGUGAAUCAUCGAAUCUUUGAACGCACAUUGCGCCCUUUGGUAUUCCUUAGGGCAUGCCUGUUCGAGCGUCAUUUAAACCUUCAAGCUAAGCUUGGUGUUGGGUGACUGUCCGCUUCACGGCGGACUCGCAUCAAAAUUAUUGGCGGCCGGUACAUUGGCUUCGAGCGCAGCAGAAACGCGAACUCGGGCCCGUCGUAUUGGCUCCCAGAAGCUAUCUUCACAAUUUUGACCUCGGAUCAGGUAGGGAUACCCGCUGAACUUAAGCAUAUCAAUAAGCGGAGGA